AGGACGAAAAUAAACAAAAGCCCAACCACAUUACAACAACUUGUACUUUCGUACUUUGAUGAAUUGGUACAGUCCUUAAAACGAGUAAUUAAUGCAAGGCUUAACUGUGGAGUUUGUGUUACUUUUUUUAAGCAACAGUGUUAGAUACGUGAGAGUCGCUUAAAACAUUAAAACGAUACAACUAGGACCACUGGAAGUAUCGUGAAAAGUAUCGUUUUAGAGAAUGCCUCUUUGGGUGAACAUUAGACAUUUGGAAGUUAAGCGGAUCAAUUCACGGAAUAGCUGUGACGAUAGCGGACGUAAGUUAGUGUUAUUGUCAAGUAGAAGAUGAGCCCCAGCUCACUUAUUAUUCAUACAGAGAGUCAAGGAUUAUAUUCGCCUCUCCAUAACAACGACUUAAGAUCUUCCCAUUUGUAACAUGACGCAUAUCAAUGUACAAGAAAAAUACCUUCCAGACAGAAAGAAGUGGAAGUGGUUCUUUGAAACAAAGUUAUCUCAACUCACAUAACGAAAUGCAAUGUCCAGUUGUAAUCUUAUCAAGCUAACGUUGUGCAGCAGCCAACUUUGUUACAACUUUACAGUAGAGCUUCCAUUAAACCUUGAUGAUUAGCCUUAUCCUUAAAAACAUUUGUUUCAAACUCACCUUCACAUAGAGUCCCAAUGGGUAUAAUCCAGGUCUUUUCUGAACAUGUUAUGGACUUAUGAAGCCAUACCAUGCACAGUGUGCCUGCAUUGCUGCCAUCUUGUCCUAGACGAAGGGAAGGGAGAGCUGGCUCUCGAUAACACCACCAUCGCCCACAUUUUAAACUUCAAAUAACUCAUACAUAUGAAUGUCCAUUCAAACCACACAUUGCCCAGAUAGUAGCUUCACUCUUCAGUUCAUUUUCAUGCGUCUUAGGGCAAAGUAGCCCAUCUCUGAAAGGGUGUGCGGCACCCCCCAAACGAACGGUUAC